rnacentral:rRNA from 1 species
AUACGUAGGUGGCAAGCGUUGUCCGGAAUUAUUGGGCGUAAAGCGCGCGCAGGUGGUUCCUUAAGUCUGAUGUGAAAGCCCCCGGCUCAACCGGGGAGGGUCAUUGGAAACUGGGGAACUUGAGUGCAGAAGAGGAUAGUGGAAUUCCAAGUGUAGCGGUGAAAUGCGUAGAGAUUUGGAGGAACACCAGUGGCGAAGGCGACUGUCUGGUCUGUAACUGACACUGAGGCGCGAAAGCGUGGGGAGCAAACAGGAUUAGAUACCCUGGUAGUCCACGCCGGAAACGAUGAGUGCUAAGUGUUGGGGGGUUUCCGCCCCUCAGUGCUGCAGCUAACGCAUUAAGCACUCCGCCUGGGGAGUACGGUCGCAAGACUGAAACUCAAAUGAAUUGACGGGG